rnacentral:tRNA from 1 species
AGAGUAAACUCUAACCUUUAUUAUGUUUUCGUCUAGAGUGCCCCACUUUUCUCAGGGCCUA